rnacentral:rRNA from 1 species
UACGAAGGGGGCUAGCGUUGUUCGGAAUCACUGGGCGUAAAGCGCACGUAGGCGGAUCUUUAAGUCAGGGGUGAAAUCCCGAGGCUCAACCUCGGAACUGCCUUUGAUACUGGGGAUCUCGAGUCCGGGAGAGGUGAGUGGAACUGCGAGUGUAGAGGUGAAAUUCGUAGAUAUUCGGAAGAACACCAGUGGCGAAGGCGGCUCACUGGCCCGGUACUGACGCUGAUGUGCGAAAGCGUGGGGAGCAAACAGG